AUACGUAGGGUGCAAGCGUUAAUCGGAAUUACUGGGCGUAAAGCGUGCGCAGGCGGUUUUGUAAGACCGCGGUGAAAUCCCCGGGCUCAACCUGGGAACUGCCUUUGUGACUGCAAGGCUAGAGUACGGCAGAGGGGGAUGGAAUUCCGCGUGUAGCAGUGAAAUGCGUAGAUAUGCGGAGGAACACCGAUGGCGAAGGCAAUCCCCGGGGCCCGCACAGACGCACAUGCCUGAAAUGUAGGGGAGCAAACAAGAUUAGAAACCCUGUUGGCCCACGCCCUAAACGAUGUCACCUGGUUCUUGGGGAUUUGUUUCUCAGUAACGAAGCUAACGUGUGAAAUUGACCGCCUGGGGAGUACGGCCGCAAGGUUAAAACUCAAAUGAAUUGGCGGGG
rnacentral:rRNA from 1 species